GGCAGUUCUCGGGUGAUGCACCCUGGAAUCAGGCUCCCUCCUCUCUGAUUCUGGGUGCAUCACCCAAGAACCGCC
rfam:Myotis brandtii contig235343, whole genome shotgun sequence.